UCCCGGCCUCCUGUGUUCCUCUCUCGGCAUUUCUAACAAGUUUUGGUCAUUUAUUUCCUUUCUUAUACCUCCAUUUAUAGUCCAAAAGAAAGCGCUUCUAAAUACCUCUCUUUUAUAUUCUAAAUAUUUAAAUGUUUUUAAAACUUUCCCACUUGUGUUUCCACUGCCAGCGUUCCAGCCAGCGCUUCCUCAUCCCCCACUGCCGUACCACUGUGAUGGCCGCCUCGCUCAUUCUCCUGCAGCCGCUCCCGCCCCAGGCACUCCUAAUUACCACCUUUGAAAAGCAGUUGAUUCUCUGUGAAAAGAAUAAAAAUACAGCCGACAACACUAAAACAACAAAUAAAAGUCUACAAACUUUCAG